ensembl:miRNA
ACGCCCAGCGUGCGGUGGUAAGCGCCGUGCAGCACGGUCUGCGCGUUGUCGUGCCACACCAAUAACUUGAGCGAGUCCCACUCCAGGCACCACGAGUAGG